UUGACCUCGAAUCAGGUAGGAAUACCCGCUGAACUUAAGCAUAUCAAUAAGCGGAGGAAAAGAAACCAACAGGGAUUGCCCCAGUAACGGCGAGUGAAGCGGCAACAGCUCAAAUUUGAAAUCUGGCUCUCGGGCCCGAGUUGUAAUUUGUAGAGGAUGCUUUUGGUGAGGUGCCUUCCGAGUUCCCUGGAACGGGACGCCAUAGAGGGUGAGAGCCCCGUCUGGUUGGACACCGAUCCUCUGUAAAGCUCCUUCGACGAGUCGAGUAGUUUGGGAAUGCUGCUCUAAAUGGGAGGUAUAUGUCUUCUAAAGCUAAAUACCGGCCAGAGACCGAUAGCGCACAAGUAGAGUGAUCGAAAGAUGAAAAGAACUUUGAAAAGAGAGUUAAAAAGUACGUGAAAUUGUUGAAAGGGAAGCGCUUGUGACCAGACUUGGGCUUGGUUGAUCAUCCGGGGUUCUCCCCGGUGCACUCUUCCGGCUCAGGCCAGCAUCAGUUCGCCCUGGGGGAUAAAGGCUUCGGGAAUGUGGCUCUCUCCGGGGAGUGUUAUAGCCCGCUGCGUAAUACCCUGUGGCGGACUGAGGUUCGCGCAU
rnacentral:rRNA from 8 species